rnacentral:tRNA from 1 species
GCCCUCGUAUCCCAAUUGGCAGAGGAAACGGAUUCAAACCCGUGCAGUGUGAGUUCGAGUCUCACCGAGGGCACCA